UCUCGGUACAGCCACAACAAGAUAAUUUUGACACAAUCCAGCAACAUUGGUCUUAAACCAGAUUUUUUUAGCCAUCGAACAGUGGAAAAACAAAAUCGUACCCAACUGAUUAUACCUUACAUUAGCUAAAAAUGCUAUGAAGCGUUAGAAAUAUACUCUUCACCAUUCUAACUUGCAUCAAUGAAGUAAGAUUAAUUACUCUUGAACUUCCAUUCUACUCUAGACUUGUGAAAAAUUAUGCAAAUCCUCCACCACCAUGCAUUUUUUUACUGUUGUGCAUCACUGCUAGUAGCAUCAUGCAAAUGUUGUCUAUCCCAACUUGU
rnacentral:lncRNA from 1 species